GUGCUCCCUUCGGCAGCACAUAUACAAAAUUGGAACGAUACAGAGAAGAUUAGAAUGGC
rnacentral:snRNA from 1 species